CUGCGUACAAUAAUGCUGAACAUGUGUCCACGGGAAUGAGCCCUUUCAUGGCCAAUUACGGGUGUCACCCCAGGGCAUUCCCGGGGCGGGGGGAGGAAGGAUGGAGCGUACCUGCGACUGAGCAAUUUGUGAAGGAAAUGGAGGCCUUACACCAGCAACUUAGGCUGAACUUAGAGUGGGCCAAGGAAGUUUACAAGAGGCAGGCGGAUAGGCACCGUCGGGAGGGAGGAGGCCAUACGGGUGGAAGACCGGGUGUGGUUGUCAUCCCAAGGGUUGCCCCUAAAGGGAGGGUGCAAGAAGUUGCAGCCUAGGCGGCUGGGGCCUUUUGAGGUAAUGCAGCAGGUGAACCCAGUGGCGUUUAAACUCAAGUUGCCUGACAGCAUGAAGAUACAUCCGGUGUCCCACAGGUCCCUACUUUCACCGUACAGGGAGGGGUGGGAAUUCCCGGGACUGGAGGGAGGGGUUACCACCCACCCACGAGUCGAGGAGAGGGAACACUGUAACGAAGCCACGGAAAUACUCGAUUCAAGGUGGCGAGGCCGCCAGGUAGAGUACUUGGUAGCCUGGGAGGGGGAACCCAGGUCGGAAAACACGUGGGUCCCGGCUGAAUCAAUCACUGACGAGUAUCUGGUGGAAGAAUUCCACAGUUUGUUCCUGGACAAGCCCAAACCAUUAGCUAGAUUUUGGGAGGAAGAAUUUGGACCCACAGACAACGAAGGGGACUUUGUGGGUUUUCCUGCCUCCGAAGAGGAGGGAGGGGAGGUGCCCGAGGGAGAAGAAUCAGACUGGGAAGUUCAACCAGUGGUUUUGAAUCCUCAGAAGAGGAUGACAGCACUUUCAGGGGAUUCCCCGCAUCGUCGGCCAAGGAGAGAGAGGAGGUUGUGUCGGAAAAUGGUGCCGGGAGUGGGAGGGGUCCUGAGGAGGAGGUGGAUGUCAGGGAACUGCCAUCAGAGCCAGAGGGAGAGAGCAAGCUCCAGAGGGAUCCCAGAGAGCGUCCCGGGAUUGGGGGAGGCAGCCCAUCUUCUGAGGAAGGGAAUCAGCUUAGCUCCAGUGGAGAAGGGCGGCAGAUGGGGGAAUCUGAGAGGGGGUCACAUGACUCCUUGCCGGGGACCAGCAGGGGGAGGAAGGGUCCUCUGCUGCCUACGCCCUCCUUGCGCAGAAGGCUUCCGCACAGGGAGAGUAGGAAGAGACUGGGCG
rnacentral:lncRNA from 1 species